CUUCACCGACCCCAGCCACAGCGGCUGUUCCGCCGUGUGCUCACUCCCGUACGUCGCCAGCAGCGCCUGGGCCUC
rnacentral:antisense_RNA from 1 species